UACGGGGGGAGCAAGCGUUGUUCGGAAUUACUGGGCGUAAAGGGCUCGUAGGCGGCCAACUAAGUCGGACGUGAAAUCCCUCAGCUUAACUGGGGAACUGCGUCCGAUACUGGAUGGCUUGGAUUUGGGAGAGGGAUGCGGAAUUCCAGGUGUAGCGGUGAAAUGCGUAGAUAUCUGGAGGAACACCGGUGGCGAAGGCGGCAUCCUGGACCAAUAUUGACGCUGAGGAGCGAAAGCUAGGGGAGCAAACGGG
rnacentral:rRNA from 1 species